rnacentral:lncRNA from 1 species
CUAGCUAUUAUACUCUUAUGAAUAUAGAUCUCUUUGUACUUUAAGUUUUCGGCCAUUAAAUUUAUCCCUUUAAGCAUUUUUAUUCGUUAGAUCGCACUAUUCAACCAACCACCCACUCAAUCCUAGAGGACCACUAUCAUUCUAAGCGGGGAUUAUUAUCAUCCUAACCGCACAUCUCUUUAUCCAACGGCCGAAAAAUUUAUAAGUAUAAAGAGUUCUAUACUCAUAAAAGUAUAGUACGUAGUCCUAGCCUAUAUAUAUAAUAUUCAAGUUCUCCGGAUCCAACGGACGCUACUCCCAAUAUAUACAAGAACGACCAACUGUUUCUAGCGUAUGUGACAAAAAAUUUGAUGGUUGGCAUGCACUUAAGGUCCCAAAUUCGAAUCCUAAUUCACAUUUUCAACUUAGUUUAUUUCUAAAAGGGGUAAUAUGCUUCCGUUCUCUAAAAAAAAUAUAUACAAGAACAUAUAGGAGAUUUAUGCCAUGUUUGUCACUACAACAAAAUUAGUUUAUAGAGACAUAUGUUUAGUAUACUUUUGUGUAAGUGUCUCAUUUAUGUAAAAAAUUUAAAAAAAUCUAUUAAGGCCUAAAUAUAAAGCCCAAUCCAACCAAAAAGAAAAAGUUACUCUACUCAACCCACCUCAUCCUGUCCAUUCGGCCCGAUUACAAAUAGAAAAGGGAAAAAAAAAAUCGAUCACCAUUUCCCCUUCUCUCCUCACUUAAUCCACUGAAAUCCUAGACGAAGAGCCCUUCGCUCUCCUCCUCCUCCGCCGCCGCAGCUAACGAGAUAGAGUUCCGGCGAUUGUUAAAUGCUUAAAUAAGUGUUGGUAAAUAAGCAGCACUCGUUUUAGAUUAUACCGACACUUUUAAACUGUCACUAUAUACCUAGCGACCCCACAUACAGCAACACUUUUUAAAAGUGUUGGUAAUUUAGCCAGCGACACUUUUUUUUAACAUAUACUGAUAUUUAAAAGUAUCGCUAUACACCAUUUUUGUUGUAGUACAUAUCUCAUUAGCUAACUAAAAUGCAUAUAAUAAGUUGAGAUGGAAAUUAAUUUAAUUAUGGAUAUAU